rnacentral:lncRNA from 10 species
GCAGCCUGUAAGCCAGGCUGCCUCCUCUGUCUACUGUGGAGCAGGCUGGCAGGUUAGUAAAACUUGCUUGCCUGACUUUGGGUCUACUCAUCCUUACUCUCAGCUAAACUUACAGAGACCAGCAGGUGGGCUUGAGCCACUGUGAAGGCAUUUAGCAGCUCUGCCGCAGGAGUGGACAAGGUUACCAGCAACAGCAGGCCUUGGGUGGGCCAGUCCUUGGGCUCCAUGCAGAGUGCAUGAUGAUUAGCAAAUCUGCCACUGUGAGGAGACACAUGCUAGGUGCCUCUAGUCAGCGAUCUUGAUGACAUCUUUGUUUUGGACUUCUAAUGACAUGAUGAAGAAAGUGAAAAACAAGCCACAGAUGAGUGGGCACGUUGGGCCAAGCACUGUUCUAGACAUAAAUAUUUCAUAGAGAUUCAUCAACACAAGUUGCAAUAAAACACGAAAAAGAUUGAUGUAAUGUUUCUGUGAUAGGCAGCCUCUAAGAUGAUCUACAGAUCUCUACUUCUUGAUAUUCAUCAUCUUACUGUAGGCUGGUCCACCUAGCAUCUCUAAGCAGGAUACUGAAAAAAAGUAUCGAAUGAGCUGCCGCUUCUGAGAUUAUGUUAUGAGCUACUGUGUCUUCCAGUUAGCUCACCCCUCUCUUGCUUACUCAAUCUGUGGUAAACCAGCUGUCAUUGCUGCCUUCUGCCCUAUAUGGAGGCACAAAAAAGAAGGAAUGGAGGGAGGCACCCAGCCAAGAGCCAGUGAGGACCGGAGACCUGCCAGCAGCCACACGAGUGAGGCUGGAAGCACAUCUGCCUCCAAUUUAGUCUUGAAAUAACUGCAGCCUCAGCAGACACCUAAAUUGCAGCCUUGUGAAAGACUCUCAGCCAGGGGCUCCCAGCUAAGCUGUGUAUGAGUUUUUGAACUAUAGAGACUGUGAGAGACUACAUUUUUGCUGUUUGUCUCUAGGUUUUGGGGUAAUUAGUUAAGCAGAAAUGAACAGAGUUGCUAAUAGAAAUAAUACAGUGGUUUUACUUUGGAAGAAAUAUAUUUUAAUCUAAGAUCAAGUCCUUUCUCUGAUUUGGGUGUUAAAAUGGCUUAUAUUUUUUGAUAUUAGAGUGACAAUAUAUUCUCUCUUUCUUUAAGCCUAUAGUUAGUAAAAUAAGUAUAUUUGAGUCCCACAGAAUUUUUAAAAAUGGUUUUCCAAUUAAUAAAAUCAAAAGUUUGACAAUAAGUUUUAAAUUAUUCCCAUAUCAUUUACAUUCUUCUAUGAUCAUUAUUUUGUGUAAAAUGCUAUAAAUAUUUUUUUAUGUUUGUUUUCUCUAAAUAAACUGUGAGUUUCUAAAGUAUAAGAAUUAUGUGUUAUUCAUA